AUUGAACGCUGGCGGCAGGCCUAACACAUGCAAGUCGAACGAGUGGCGGACGGGUGAGUAAUGUCUGGGAAACCGCCUGAUGGAGGGGGAUAACUACUGGAAACGGUAGCUACUACCGCAUACCAUCGGAUGUGCCCAGAUGGGAUUAGCUAGUAGGUGGGGUAAAGGCUCACCUAGGCGACGAUCCCUAGCUGGUCUGCGAGGAUGACCAGCCACACUGGAACUGAGACACGGUCCAGACUCCGACGGGAGGCAGCAGUGGGGAAUAUUGGACAAUGGGCGAAAGCCUGAUCCAGCCAUGCCGCGUGUGUGAAGAAGGCCUUCGGAUUGUAAAGCACUUUAAGUUGGGAGGCGGUACCAACAGAAUAAGCACCGGCUAACUUCGUGCCAGCAGCCGCGGUAAUUC
rnacentral:rRNA from 1 species